CUCUUUCUCUCUAUCCAGCUGGGGAGCAGACUCUCACGUAGUUGGAGAUUUGGCCUACACAGAAGCCCAGAGUGCCUCUAUAAUCCCCCAGUGCGGCGUUCCUGACCCACGGUCCUCUGGGACACCUAACCUCCCAACACAGCACAGCAACUUCAUUCUUUCUUCAUUGACUUCAGAUCUCUCUCCUCCUCCAUGCUCAGCGUUUAACGGCAGAGCCUCGGGCUGCUCCAGCGUCGGAGCCAGAGUCUUCACUGAAGCGGGUCAGGUUUCAGCCGUUUGCCUCACAGUGGGAGUGCGGCACUGGGAUAAACGCGAGCAGAGCUACACGCACAUAAACCAUUGAUGUGCCGGCCGGGGCUACGCUGAGAUCGUUCAAAUAACAGGCUCCAUCUGACAACCGCUCCUUACAAACGGCACAAUUGUGGGACGUUUAUUUUUCCAAUCGUUCCCAGAUCUGGAUUUUCUCCUGCUGCCGCGUCGGCUGGGCAGAUGUUCGGGCGGGGAGGUGGCGAACGACAGGAAAAACGAGAGAAGGAGAGAACGAGAGAGAAAGCAGAAACAAACCGCAGCUGGGAGAGGAAAAACAGCCACGAACGUAGCUGGGGACUGAAGCAGAUGGGGAACCCUUCACUUCUCAUCCAGCCUUUUCCAUCUUCACAUACUUCAACUUCAAGAAGUGACUGUUCGCCUGCUGCGUAAUAUAUCCCACCCCGUGACAAGUGUCACUGUAAUAAGAUAAUCAAUGUUAUUCACUUCACCUGUCAGUGGUUUUAAUGCUGUGGCCGAUCAGUGCAUAACAGCACCUUAUAU